AAUGGUGGGAGAGCGGUCUAAGGGCGUUGAAGCAUGAUCGCAAGGACAUGUGGAGCGCUUAGAAGUGAGAAUGCCGGUGUGAGUAGCGAAAGACGGGUGAGAAUCCCGUCCACCGAUUGACUAAGGUGUCCAGAGGAAGGCUCGUCCGCUCUGGGUUAGUCGGGUCCUAAGCUGAGGCCGAUAGGCGUAGGCGAUGGAUAACAGGUUGAUAUUCCUGUACCACCAAAAUUCGUUUU
rnacentral:rRNA from 1 species